CAGUAUUGGAGCUCGAUUGUAAUUCCUUGUCGAGCGGGAACCAGAAGUAGAAACAACCAGACUGGAUUAGUUUACUGUGGAGUUAAUAUCCUGCUGUCAUGAACUGGGACCAGAAUGAGUUGCUAUCGCCUGUUGUACGGGAUGCUGAAGUGACCAGAGCAGCACGACGAAAGAGUUCAGUUCAGAAGAAGGCUCAAUUCAACUUCCUUUCUCCUCGUGAUGACAACCAAGGUAGUACCACCACACCUGCCCGUUCCCUGCCCUGCC